GUAGGUGGCAAGCGUUGUCCGGAAUUAUUGGGCGUAAAGCGCGCGCAGGCGGUUCUUUAAGUCUGAUGUGAAAGCCCACGGCUCAACCGUGGAGGGUCAUUGGAAACUGGAGAACUUGAGUACAGAAGAGGAAAGCGGAAUUCCACGUGUAGCGGUGAAAUGCGUAGAGAUGUGGAGGAACACCAGAGGCGAAGGCGGCUUUCUGGUCUGUAACUGACGCUGAGGCGCGAAAGCGUGGGGGAGCAAACAGGAUUAGAUACCCUGGUAGUCCACGCCGUAAACGAUGAGUGCUAAGUGUUAGGGGGUUUCCGCCCCGUUAGUGCUGCAGCCAACGCAUUAAGCACUCCGCCUGGGAGUACGGCCGCAAGGCUG
rnacentral:rRNA from 1 species